rnacentral:rRNA from 1 species
UGAGGAAUAUUGGGCAAUGGAGGCAACUCUGACCCAGCCAUGCCGCGUGAGUGAAGAAGGUUUUCGGAUUGUAAAGCUCUUUCGGGUGUGACGAUGAUGACGGUAGCAUCUAAAGAAGCCCCGGCUAACUUCGUGCCAGCAGCCGCGGUAAUACGAAGGGGGCAAGCGUUGUUCGGAAUUACUGGGCGUAAAGGGAGUGUAGGCGGUUAUGUAAGAUAGUGGUGAAAUCCCAGAGCUUAACUUUGGAAUUGCCAUUAUGACUAUGUGGCUAGAAUUACAGAGAGGAUAGUGGAAUACCCAGUGUAGAGGUGAAAUUCGUAGAUAUUGGGUAGAACACCAGUGGCGAAGGCGACUAUCUGGCUGUAUAUUGACGCUGAGGCUCGAAAGCAUGGGGAUCAAACAGGAUUAGAUACCCUGGUAGUCCAUGCUGUAAACGAUGAGUGCUUGUUGUCGGUAUUGUAUCGGUGACGAAGUUAACGCGUUAAGCACUCCGCCUGGGGAGUACGGUCGCAAGAUUAAAACUCAAAGGAAUUGACGGGGACCCGCACAAGCGGUGGAGCAUGUGGUUUAAUUCGAUGCAACGCGAAGAACCUUACCAACUCUUGACAUCCUUAUCGGGGAGAUCAGAGAUGAUUUCUUUCAGUUAGGCUGGAUAAGUGACAGAUGCUGCAUGGCUGUCGUCAGCUCGUGUCGUGAGAUGUUGGGUUAAGUCCCGCAACGAGCGCAACCCCUGCUAUCAGUUGCCAUCAGGUAGAGCUGGGCACUCUGAUAGGACUGCCGGUGAUAAGCCGGAGGAAGGUGGGGAUGACGUCAAGUCAUCAUGGCUCUUACGAGUUGGGCUACACACGUGCUACAAUGGCAACUACAGAGGGGAGCGAGACCGCGAGGUCGAGCCAAUCUUAAAAAGUUGUCUCAGUUCAGAUUGUACUCUGCAACUCGAGUACAUGAAGUUGGAAUCGCUAGUAAUCGCGGAUCAGCAUGCCGCGGUGAAUACGUUCCC